rnacentral:sRNA from 1 species
UCGCACAAGACACAGUGCGGCGCGGCUGC